rnacentral:rRNA from 1 species
GGCUAUUGCUAUUCGAAUCCGACUUAGCCAUGCGAGUUAUUGCCGCAAGGCAAAGCGAACUGCUCAGUAACACGUAGUUAACCUAACCUUGGAUCUUGAAUAAUCCUGCUAAAGUGGGGCUAAUACGAGAUAGAUGCCUUUUCCUGGAAUGGUUUGGCAUUGAAAGCUUCGGUGUCCAAGGAUGGGACUGCGGUCGAUCAGGCUGUUGUGAGGGUAAUUUCCUCGCAAACCUAUAACCGAUACGGGCCAUGAAAGUGGAAGCCCGGAGAUGGAUUCUGAGACAUGAAUCCAGGUCCUACGGGACGCAGCAGGCGCGAAACCUUCGCAAUGUGCGGAAGCACGACGAGGGGAUUCGAAGUGUUGCAGCUUUUGCUGCAACUUUUCCUAAGGUUUAAUUCCUUGGGGAAUAAGUGGUGGGCAAGACGGGUGCCAGCCGCCGCGGUAAUACCCGCGCCACAAGUGAUAGCCACGAUUAUUGGGCCUAAAGUGUUCGUAGCCGGUUCAGCAAGUUCUUGGUGAAAUCUGGCAGUUGACUGUCAGACGUGCUGGGAAAACUGCUGAACUUGGGACUGGGAAAGGGUAGGAGUAUUCCUGGGGUAGGGGUAAAAUCCUAUAAUCCUAGGAGGACUACCAGUGGCGAAGGCGCCUACCUGGAACAGAUCCGACGGUGAUGGACGAAAGCUAGGGGAGCAAACGGGAUUAGAUACCCCAGUAGUCCUAGCUGUAAACGAUGUGAACUUGGUGUUGCCAGUUCUACGGGAACAGGCAGUGC